rnacentral:rRNA from 1 species
AGGACAAACGCUGGCGGGGUGCGUGAGACAUGCAAGUCGAACGAGGUUUCAUGGGGCUUGCUCUGUGAAACCUAGUGGCGGACGGCUGAGUAACGCGUAGGUGACCUGCCCGGAAGUGGGGAAUAACUGCCCGAAAGGGUGGCUAAUACCGCAUGUGGUCGGCGAUUCAGUUCGCCGCCCAAAGCCGUAAGGCGCUUCCGGCGGGGCCUGCGUCCGAUUAGCUAGUUGGUGGGGUAAUGGCUCACCAAGGCGACGAUCGGUAGCUGGUCUGAGAGGAUGAUCAGCCAGACUGGGACUGAGAACGGCCCAGACUCCUAUGGGAGGCAGCAGUCGGGAAUUUUGCCCAAUGGACGAAAGUCUGAGGCAGCAACUCCGCGUGAGGGACGAAGGCCUUCGGGUCGUAAACCUCUUUUCUCAGGGAAGAUACAAGACGGUACCUGAGGAAUAGACCACGGACUAACGUACGUGCCAGCAGCCGC